UACGUAGGGCGCAAGCGUUGUCCGGAAUUAUUGGGCGUAAAGAGCUCGUAGGCGGUUUGUCGCGUCUGUCGUGAAAGCCCACGGCUUAACCGUGGGUCUGCGGUGGAUACGGGCAGACUAGAGGCAGGUAGGGGAGAAUGGAAUUCCCGGUGUAGCGGUGAAAUGCGCAGAUAUCGGGAGGAACACCGGUGGCGAAGGCGGGUCUCUGGGCCGAUACUGACGCUGAGGAGCGAAAGCGUGGGGAGCGAACAGG
rnacentral:rRNA from 1 species